rnacentral:sRNA from 1 species
AUUCUGCCCAUGCGGGGAAGGAUGAGAAGCUUCGACUAAGGUUCGGCUCGAGCGUCAGCGAGAGGGCGUUGCCGCAGGCAACGACCCGAAGGGCGAAGCGCGCAGCGCUGAGUAAUCCUUCCCCCACCACCA